AUUGAACGCUGGCGGCAGGCCUAACACAUGCAAGUCGAGCGAGGGGCGGGCGUGUGAGAAAUGCCGGGGAAUCGCCAAGUCGAGGGGGAAAACAGGUGGAAACGACUGAUAACACCGCAUACGAGGGGAUUGCCGAGGUGGGGUGUGCUAGUGGGGGGGGUACUGUCACACCAAGGCGACGAUCCCUAGCUGGUCUGAGAGGAUGACCAGCCACACUGGAACUGAGACACGGUCCAGACUCCUACGGGAGGCAGCAGUGGGGAAUAUUGCACAAUGGGCGAAACCCUGAUGCAGCCAUGCCGCGUGUGUGAAGAAGGCCUUCGGGUUGUAAAGUACUUUCAGCGAGGAGGCGUUACUCGCAGAAGAAGCACCGGCUAACUCCGUGCCAGCAGCCGCGGUAAUAC
rnacentral:rRNA from 1 species